UACGAAGGGGGCUAGCGUUGUUCGGAUUUACUGGGUGUAAAGGGCGCGUAGGCGGCCUUAUUAGUCAGAUGUGAAAGCCCCGAGCUUAACUUGGGAACUGCAUUUGAAACGGUAAGGCUAGAGGAUAGGAGAGGUCAGUGGAAUUUCCAGUGUAGAGGUAAAAUUCGUAGAGAUUGGAAGGAACACCAGAGGCGAAGGCGACUGACUGGACUAUAUCUGACGCUAAGGCGCGAAAGCGUGGGGAGCAAACAGG
rnacentral:rRNA from 1 species